GGUUCAGUGGCGUAAUGGUAUUGCACUCCACAUUCCUAUGUAGUUCACGGUAUGCUUUACAGAGAGUCUGGAGUUCAAUUCUCUGCUGAGCCA